rnacentral:rRNA from 1 species
AACGUACGCUGGCGGCAGGCUUAACACAUGCAAGUCGAGCGCGUAGCAAUACGAGCGGCAGACGGGUGAGUAACGCGUGGGAAUCUACCGAGCCCUAAGGAAUAGCUCCGGGAAACUGGAAUUAAUACCUUAUACGCCCUUCGGGGGAAAGAUUUAUCGGGGUUUGAUGAGCCCGCGUUGGAUUAGCUAGUUGGUGGGGUAAAGGCCUACCAAGGCGACGAUCCAUAGCUGGUCUGAGAGGAUGAUCAGCCACAUUGGGACUGAGACACGGCCCAAACUCCCACGGGAGGCAGCAGUGGGGAAUAUUGGACAAUGGGCGCAAGCCUGAUCCAGCCAUGCCGCGUGAGUGAUGAAGGCCCUAGGGUUGUAAAGCUCUUUCACCGGUGAAGAUAAUGACGGUAACCGGAGAAGAAGCCCCGGCUAACUUCGUGCCAGCCGCCGCGGUAAAAC